UUGUCCAAGUGAGCAUGUACCUAGCUCAG
rnacentral:piRNA from 1 species